GCCCAAGUAGGGUAGCAUGGAUAUCCUGGAAGCCUGCGGAGCUUCCGACCCGGGUUCAAAUCCCGGCUUGGGCG
rnacentral:tRNA from 1 species